AAAAUUGCAGACGGGUCGCUCCUCCCUGACCCGGACGCAGCUGAGCCGGCUUUCUCCUCCUCCCUGAGAGCCGCGCCACAGAAAGAACGGCGAUGCCCCUCCUCCCUGGCAUCGCCGUUUUUUU
rnacentral:sRNA from 12 species